UCUUUCUAAGCAAACUGCUGGAAUAAGAAGUGGGAAAACCACCACUGAUUGACAUUUGAAAGAGACAGACGAGGGAUCUUCCACACAUUUUCAGCUCUCAACACCCUGUACCAUGAAGCUUGAUACCCACCUUGCUUUGGCUUGGGGAGGAAGAGCUCUGAAGCCACUCAUCAACAGAAAGGGAAAGAUGAGAGGAGAUAUAAAUCUCUGGAAUAGGCUUACAGGAGAAGCUAGACCAGCCUCAGUGGAAGACUUCACUUGGGCAUAUUUCAUCAGGGUCAGCCACUAAAGUUCCUGAGAACAGUCUUUCCAUGAAAGUUGGAGAAGUCCCAAGAGAUAAGAGUUCCUGAUUAUUCCAGUCUCUGCCUUCUAGAGGGAGAAGAGGAUCCUCUCAGGCAACUGAAAGACUAAAGCCGUGUCAUAAUGGGGCAAGACAUAUGCCCUGGCUAACUUGGGUAUUAUUAUGAGUCCCAUGGAUGAUGGAGAUUUAAUGUGAAGGGAGAACUGUUUGCUCAACAGCUUCACAAAGUCUGACUACCUUCAAGGAUUAGGGGGAGAGAAUCUAGUAAAUUUUAAAGGGUUAUGUCAAUGUUUUCUAUUUCGGUAUUUGUUUAUGGCCUUCUAAGAGUCCUCUGAGUCAUGUGUUUUCUUCAGGUAGUGAAAUUAAGGAUGACCCUUACUUCAUACCAAUGUUGUAUAUUAAGUACUUACGCAGGUCUUACAGACUCUAUUACCCACUUUUGGGGAAAACUAGU